AUUGAACGCUGGCGGCAUGCCUUACACAUGCAAGUCGAACGGUAACACGGGGCAACCUGGCGACGAGUGGCGAACGGGUGAGUAAUGCAUCGGAACGUGCCCAGUAGUGGGGGAUAGCCCGGCGAAAGCCGGAUUAAUACCGCAUACGACCUACGGGUGAAAGGGGGGGAUCGCAAGACCUCUCGCUAUUGGAGCGGCCGAUGUCAGAUUAGGUAGUUGGUGGGGUAAAGGCCUACCAAGCCGACGAGCUGUAGCUGGUCUGAGAGGACGACCAGCCAAACUGGGACUGAGACACGGCCCAGACUGCUACGGGAGGCAGCAGUGGGGAAUUUUGGACAAUGGGCGAAAGCCUGAUCAAGCCAUGCCGCGUGCGGGAAGAAGGCCUUCGGGUUGUAAACCGCUUUUGUCAGGGAAGAAAUCUUCUGGGUUAAUACCUCGGGAGGAUGACGGUACCUGAAGAAUAAGCACCGGCUAACUACGUGCCAGCCGCCGCCGUAACAC
rnacentral:rRNA from 1 species